UCUGCAGGGUACAGGAAAGAGACCAUAACGCUCCUCUCUGGUGGCCCAGAUGAGACUCUUUGAAAACUCUUCGGUGUACCAAAUUGGGAAAAUUGAUGUGUCUCGGCCUUUCAUGCACCAACAUUUCCAUUUGUGUCUGUGUGCAGGAUUAUACGCCAAUCGUUUCCAUUCUGUACACCGUGCAUAUACCCUCCAAAACCACUAUGCAAGUAGUGGAGCAGUAGGGUUCCUACCUUAAUUUUGAUGUCAAAUUGAUAUGAAAUUCAUCAUGCAAAUUAAUUAAAUUGAUUAAUUAGUUGCACUACAUUUCAUGAUGAUGGCAUAGGUUUUUCCUUGCUAGCACAUGGGUCCCUUCCCCCUUCCAUCCCCUCCCUCCUCCACUCCUGGAAAUGAUGGGAAAUUGAAAUUUUGGUGGGAAAUUAAAAAAUGACGGAAAUUCGAAAAACGGCGCGAAAUUCAAAUUUUUUUUUUUCGGAAAUGUAAAAUUUUGUGUCUUCACCUUGACGUUCAUAGACCCACACUCCUAGUUCACAAUACCACCACCCCGUCACAUUCCUCAGGAGCCAAUAGGAGCACAGGAAUGCUAUAUCCAGUCACAUGAUCGUGAUGUUGUGGAUAUAAGGUGAACAUGGCAGCACCCCAAUCUCAGUGAGUCUCUAGAAGAAGAAGAACCAUUAAGAUUCACCAGCAGCAGUCAAGAUGGUGCAGCACACCACAGCAGCAGAAUAGGAAGAACUGUAAAACAGGGACCUCUGGAGUGGCCAGACCAGUGGCAACAACGACCACUGACCUGCCAGGACCUGCAGAGUCCCCCAAUGGGUCAGGACAAGCAUCAGCAUUGGAGCCAUGGGAUCCUGUUGCCACUGCAAGGAGAACGAGUGUAGAUAUUGUAGAUGAGUAGCUAGCAGUUCCACCUAGUGCUCUAAAACUUCUUGCUUCAACAUACAAUCUAACAUCUGCAGGUUCAAAGUGUUUAAAUAUCCAUUAAAUGUGGUGUUCUGACUCUCUCAAUUACAACAGUGUAUGAUGACUCAGCACUCAAUGUGAUUUGAGGGAACACAAUCAUUCAUCUGCGACACUCCAGUGUUACAAACAUGUUCGGUCAAGGGAUGGCACUAUCCUGUGUAUUGGAAAGACUGAACAGACACUUGUAUUGUGUUACAAGUGUGCAUAAAGACAUUGUAGACUAUCUCUGAGUGAAUAAUGAACAUGCUGACGAUUUACACCUGUGUAUCAAUACAAUAGCAACAGAAACUAAAGGACAACCAAUAAGUCUGAGAGAAAUUCAAUCUAAAUUCCACAUGUACAGGAAACUGUUAUUUGGUAAAUUCUCUACAGGAUGGAAGGUGAAGAAGGAACCUGUUGAUUUUUCAAAUUUGUUGUAUCUAAUGUACAAUUUUUGAAUUAUAUAUAUAAUCGCAAA